rnacentral:ncRNA from 1 species
GUAUCGACGAUGAUGAAGGGUAAGUAGCCGUUGGAGGCGGGUUUCAGAGAGAUGGUGUUUGGUGCGAACCAUCCCCGGCCGACGUGUGAAUGGACUUCGGAGUUGCUUGGCCGAACGUAUUUGUUUGUAGGCAAAGCCGGGAUUCCCUCUCCGUUACCAUGAGGGCUGUAUCGAUAGUGUUCUUGAUGAGCCUGUCCGUACUUGAGAGUGCAUCUUCAUACCGGAGAUGAAUAAAGGUGGUACCACGAUAACUUCGUCCUUUGC